AGGAGGAGCGCGCGAGAGGCCGAAAUUUAGAUCUCCGAAAGAAUAAAUCCUCCCAAAUUUACCUUCAGACCUUAUCUUAUCCCCAAGUCUUCCUCGACCACCAUGCGCGCCGCCCCCAACCUAGGUCCUCGCCUGAACCAUGGCCGCCGCGGAGGCUGACCACCACUCGUCGCCGCCGGUGCUAGCUUCCUCCCCAACCAACACCCCCACGCCCGUGCCGCCAUCCACCCUUCCCUGGGCGCCCCCAAGCAGCGUCACCUCCGCACUCAGUUCCGUUCUCCCGCGACCUAGAUCUACUGCCGUCCUCCACCAGCCGGCUUCUCUUCCUCGAGCAGUCGCUUCAACCUCCAGGAGCUCCUCUCCUCCGGCAGCAACUUCUCCACGAGCAUCCUCUACACGCCAAGGUAAGCAAUCCUUUUCUGAACUUGUGUUGUGGACACUGGAACUAGAUUGCAGGAGUGACACCCAUCACAGCAGCACUCGCAGCAUGGUUAGAAUGCCAAUGAAUAAAAUUACGCACUUGUAAUUACGUUAUAUAGUUGUUAUGGCUGGCACUGCCAUUGCUUUUAGUUAGUACUUAAAAAUGUGUUGUUUAGAUGUUGUCUGUUCUAAUCUGUAGACAUCUGAAUCUUGCACUUGAUGUGAAGAUAUUAAGGAAAUUAUUUUCUGUAGAGUAGAGAUGUAGGAAAGUACUGUAGUUCACUUAGAAGUAGAGAUUUUUGAGAAGAAACUGAAUCAACUCUAGAUUUUUCUCUGUGAAACUUUGAAACAUGCUUUGCUACCUGAUGGUUAUCCAAGGAUCCAUGUAGCUUAUAUGAUUUGAUUUAACAUGGUUAUAACAUUGAUUUAGUUCUUCAAUUUGUAUGUUAUAUGUCGUGUAAUUGGUCCUCCUAUCCUUUGAGCAGCAUGCCUCCUAUUCGUCCUCUGUGCCAAGCAGUGCCAUUUCGAGUACAUCAUCUCCCCUGGAUAGCGCCUCAUCUAUGUCCUUGCCCCUCCCCUAGCACCACUUCCUCUACUUCUCAACUGAUGAUGAGAUUUAUUUGCUAUUUCUCUCAUUCAGCCCUUAGUAAUCUUGUAAUGGGCACUGAUAUGGUGUUGAAAAUUUCCUGAAAUGGCAUGAUUCAGUUCACUAUUCAGUUCACUGAUGUGCUCCUUGCUAUACUAUCUCUUAAUGCCUUCCCCUAAUCACAGAGCCCGUAAUUAGUACAUAUCAGGAAUAUGUUGUCUGUACACAUAAAUUUCUACUCUUGUACUGAUUGCAUCUUUUUUAUUGUAUGUUUUCCUGAUCUAUUUGAAGUGGAAUUGAAGUCUUAUUCUGCUUUACUGUUAAAUCUCAUGUAUGUACCAGAAUACCAUAUAUGGUUUAGUUUCUUAGAUCCAUUAACUUCACUUUUCAUGUGGAAACAAUUUUGCACAUCAAAACUAUGAUGCAACCCCUUCUGAUGUAAGAUACUCUUAAGCUUAUGAUUGCUGUCCGCGCUGUUGUAUAUUUAAAAACAUGAUUCAUAUAUGAUACUUUUUAAUUUGUUAUACUACACAUAAUAUCCCAGUUAUUGAAUUACACCAUCAAAAGUAUACUUUGUGCUCAUUUCUUACUAUAUUUUACGCUUAUGAGAACAGUUUAUUUUCAUAUUUUUUUGGAUGUUUUCACCAGGGAGGCACUUCAUUGUGUUGUUAAGUGAUCAAACUAGCCAUUUGUUUUUACUCCCUCCGUCCCAAAAUUCUUGUCUUAGAUUUGUCUAGAUACGGAUGUGGUAAGAAACAAUAUCAAUGUUGUAAUCUUUGUCUACUUGUGGUACAGAUUUUAUAGAAACAAUUGGAAACUAUAAUCAGGAUCAUGUAUACUUGCUUUCCAGUUAUCAUUUGAGCUUUGACCUAAGUCAGCAGAAUUCUUUUUUGUAACAUGGUUCUCAUCUCUGCACACAUGUUGUUUUCCUUCUAUGUUAAGAUUUUUUAAAACAAAAUACAUGGAUUGACAUAUGAUUUGUUAGCCUUGUUGUUUUUUGUAACAUGGUUCUCAUCUCUGCAAUAAGAUUGUUGUUUUGUUGCUGAUAAUUUGGAGGUUUUGGGUGCUUGUUGUUUAGGUUUUGCGUCAAGGACUCAAGGUUUGGUAUUAGUGCUUAUCUGGGUGGCAUAGUUUGUGAUGUUUUGAGGGUACCCCGAAUCUUAGACAUGUGGUUGAGUAUUAUCAGUCUCUAGUAAUGGAAAUGGGGAGAAAUGCUCCUAAAUCUUAAAAAUGGAAGAACAUGGGUCAUGAUGCUAGCUGAGUAUCGUGCUCUUUUCUCCUAGAUGUAAUUCUUGCAAACUGUUCUCUAAUUUUCACUUGGUGUUUUCACUGAAAUAAUCUUUUUGGGUUGUUUUUCCUGUGAUCUGUGUGCAUCUUAUUUGUCCUCUCUGCCAAGCAGCGUCUACAACGUCAUCUCCCCCAGGUAGUGCAUCGUCUACGUCCUUGGCUGCAAGUAGUGUCGCCUCGCCUCUACUUCCUCGUCCGAGCAGCACUGCCUACGUCAUCUGCCUCGUCGCUCGAGCAACACCACCUCCUCUACUUCUAGACAGACGGUGAGAUUUCUUUGCUACCAAUGCCAUUUAGCCCUUAGUAAUCUAGUAAGGGGCUCUCAUAUAGUGUUGAAAUUUUGCAGUUAGUUCUAAUUUAGUAACCUAAAAUAUCUUACAUUUAUUUACAAAGGGAGUAGUUUUCAAUUGUGUGGUUCUUCUCAGCUGUUUAUUUGUGUUUUGUAUGUCUGAUAUUUGGACAGAACAAGUGCAGUUUUUUGAUAUGGAUAGUGAUAUUCCUACUGCUAUUUUGGUUUUUACAUCCCCAAAAAGGUCACAUGAACUUAAUUAGUUUAUCAGUUAAUGUUACUGACUUGAAUUGUUGCUGAAUGUAUUAGGUAUUAAUUCGUGCUUCUUUUACUAAAUAGAAGAGAAAAAAUGUUGCAACAAAAUGGAUCUGAUAUUCUGAUUCCCCAAGUAAACAUAUUUUUUAAACCUCAUUCUUAGUUGUGUGUUAGGACAAUAUGGUGACCACUUAUGGUAAUUUUGCAUGUGGGUGCAUAGUAAAUUUUUAAUAUAUGUGCGUACAACUCAAACUGGACAUUUGUAUCGUACAUCUAGUACCCUUUAAGUUCUUUAUGCUGUAAAUUCUUAUGUUAUAGUUUGAAAUGCAAAUAUAAAGAUUAUUGCAAUUGUGGUCUGAUUCACAACACCUGUACACAGGAACCUGCACCAUUUUAGUCCAUUUUAGUAAACAACAAAGUUGAAAUGGUAAUACAGCGGAGAAAUGAAAUAGCCUACCUGAAGGUUUCCCCAUAACCAUUUUGAUUUGUACAAGUGGUGAUUUAAUCUUUCAUUUGGCAGAUAUUGUGACUUCACUUAGGAGAGGGGAUCUCAGAUUCCUUAAGCAAGCCCUUGAUAGACAUGAAGAUCCGUAACUUCACAUAUUUGUGUGCUGAAAAAUUUCAACCCUCCGAUGCAACUGAUUGCUUCCUACUUAUUUGUACGGGGACACUGAUUGCUUAUUUCUCUUGCAGGGUUAUAAAAUGUGGUGUCUACCUCGUUGGAGAAACUUGAACUCCAGGUCUACCGGAGAUUAGUGAAGAAAAUCUGAGUCUAAACUUGAAGGUGUCCUUGUCACAAAUUUACAGAAUGAACCAAUCCUUUUCACUUUGCUUUAUUUUGCAGCCAUAUCAUCGAGAGGGAGAAGGAAUCAUCUAAGGCGCAUCAAAUCGAGUUAGAGGUCUCUGCAUCCAUUUUAGAAGUUUUGCCAAAGGUGACCACGACAAACUUUUUAUCCUGAUACAAGCACAUUAUUUGAAUGAGAUGGCGUCUAUUGUUGGUGGCUUAUCCUGAUACACUAGUUGAUGGAGGAUUGGAUAAUCUACAAGCCGUUGAAGGUUUGCAAGACCUACAAUUAAGUUGGUGGAUUGGUAAUGUAAUGCGCCUUGUUUGUUGAACCUGGAAACAUUGACAAAUUCUGUUUGUUUUGGCACAUAGCCAUGUAUGCUCGUUUUUAGUGUGUGACACAUCUAGAAACAUAUGUACUUUUCCCUUUGUGGCACUAAUUCAUUUUGGUUGCGUGGCACAUCUAGAAACAUAUAUGUACUUCUCCUUUUGUGCCACAACCUGCUUAUACGUUUAUUGAAUGAAGUUCAAGGGUUUCGAUGAGGCCUAUAUGUUACUUUGAAGUGUAUGUAUAAAUUAUGUGGUGUGACCUGAUUGGC
rnacentral:rRNA from 1 species